UCGACCUGAGGUCAGGCAAGAACACCCGCUGAACUUAAGCAUAUCAAUAAGCGGAGGAAAAGAAACUAACUAGGAUUCCCUUAGUAGCGGCGAGCGAACCGGGAUGAGCCCAACUUGUAAAUCAUUAGCCCUCGGCUAAUUGAAUUGUAGUCUCAAGAUGCGAUCUCUGCAGCUAGCAGUGCCCAAUUUUCCUUGGAAAAGGGAGUCAGAGAGGGUGAGAACUCCGUCGGCACUUGCCUCAGCUGCUCUACGAGGCGUUUUCUCAGAGUCGGGUUGCUUGGGAAUGCACCUCUAAGUAGGUGGUAAAUCCCAUCUAAGGCUAAUACUGACGGGAGACCGAUAGCGAACAAGUACCGUGAGGGAAAGAUGAAAAAAACUU
rnacentral:rRNA from 1 species